GGAAACCCAGCAUGAGUUAUGUCAUGUUAUCGAUAUGUGAAUACAUAGCAUAUCAGAAGGCACACCCGGAGAACUGAAACAUCUUAGUACCCGGAGGAAGAGAAAGAAAAUUCGAUUCCCUUAGUAGCGGCGAGCGAAACGGGAAGAGCCCAAACCAACAAGCUUGCUUGUUGGGGUUGUAGGACACUCUAUACGGAGUUACAAAGGACGACAUUAGACGAAUCAUCUGGAAAGAUGAAUCAAAGAAGGUAAUAAUCCUGUAGUCGAAAAUGUUGUCUCUCUUGAGUGGAUCCUGAGUACGACGGAGCACGUGAAAUUCCGUCGGAAUCUGGGAGGACCAUCUCCUAAGGCUAAAUACUCUCUAGUGACCGAUAGUGAACCAGUACCGUGAGGGAAAGGUGAAAAGCACCCCGGAAGGGGAGUGAAAUAGAACCUGAAACCGUGUGCUUACAAGUAGUCAGAGCCCGUUAAUGGGUGAUGGCGUGCCUUUUGUAGAAUGAACCGGCGAGUUACGAUUUGAUGCAAGGUUAAGCAGUAAAUGUGGAGCCGUAGCGAAAGCGAGUCUGAAUAGGGCGUUUAGUAUUUGGUCGUAGACCCGAAACCAGGUGAUCUACCCUUGGUCAGGUUGAAGUUCAGGUAACACUGAAUGGAGGACCGAACCGACUUACGUUGAAAAGUGAGCGGAUGAACUGAGGGUAGCGGAGAAAUUCCAAUCGAACCUGGAGAUAGCUGGUUCUCUCCGAAAUAGCUUUAGGGCUAGCCUCAAGUGAUGAUUAUUGGAGGUAGAGCACUGUUUGGACGAGGGGCCCCUCUCGGGUUACCGAAUUCAGACAAACUCCGAAUGCCAAUUAAUUUAACUUGGGAGUCAGAACAUGGGUGAUAAGGUCCGUGUUCGAAAGGGAAACAGCCCAGACCACCAGCUAAGGUCCCAAAAUAUAUGUUAAGUGGAAAAGGAUGUGGCGUUGCCCAGACAACUAGGAUGUUGGCUUAGAAGCAGCCAUCAUUUAAAGAGUGCGUAAUAGCUCACUAGUCGAGUGACACUGCGCCGAAAAUGUACCGGGGCUAAACAUAUUACCGAAGCUGUGGAUUGUCCUUUGGACAAUGGUAGGAGAGCGUUCUAAGGGCGUUGAAGCAUGAUCGUAAGGACAUGUGGAGCGCUUAGAAGUGAGAAUGCCGGUGUGAGUAGCGAAAGACGGGUGAGAAUCCCGUCCACCGAUUGACUAAGGUUUCCAGAGGAAGGCUCGUCCGCUCUGGGUUAGUCGGGUCCUAAGCUGAGGCCGACAGGCGUAGGCGAUGGAUAACAGGUUGAUAUUCCUGUACCACCUAUAAUCGUUUUAAUCGAUGGGGGGACGCAGUAGGAUAGGCGAAGCGUGCGAUUGGAUUGCACGUCUAAGCAGUAAGGCUGAGUAUUAGGCAAAUCCGGUACUCGUUAAGGCUGAGCUGUGAUGGGGAGAAGACAUUGUGUCUUCGAGUCGUUGAUUUCACACUGCCGAGAAAAGCCUCUAGAUAGAAAAUAGGUGCCCGUACCGCAAACCGACACAGGUAGUCAAGAUGAGAAUUCUAAGGUGAGCGAGCGAACUCUCGUUAAGGAACUCGGCAAAAUGACCCCGUAACUUCGGGAGAAGGGGUGCUCUUUAGGGUUAACGCCCAGAAGAGCCGCAGUGAAUAGGCCCAAGCGACUGUUUAUCAAAAACACAGGUCUCUGCUAAACCGUAAGGUGAUGUAUAGGGGCUGACGCCUGCCCGGUGCUGGAAGGUUAAGAGGAGUGGUUAGCUUCUGCGAAGCUACGAAUCGAAGCCCCAGUAAACGGCGGCCGUAACUAUAACGGUCCUAAGGUAGCGAAAUUCCUUGUCGGGUAAGUUCCGACCCGCACGAAAGGCGUAACGAUUUGGGCACUGUCUCAACGAGAGACUCGGUGAAAUCAUAGUACCUGUGAAGAUGCAGGUUACCCGCGACAGGACGGAAAGACCCCGUGGAGCUUUACUGUAGCCUGAUAUUGAAAUUCGGCACAGCUUGUACAGGAUAGGUAGGAGCCUUUGAAACGUGAGCGCUAGCUUACGUGGAGGCGCUGGUGGGAUACUACCCUAGCUGUGUUGGCUUUCUAACCCGCACCACUUAUCGUGGUGGGAGACAGUGUCAGGCGGGCAGUUUGACUGGGGCGGUCGCCUCCUAAAAGGUAACGGAGGCGCUCAAAGGUUCCCUCAGAAUGGUUGGAAAUCAUUCAUAGAGUGUAAAGGCAUAAGGGAGCUUGACUGCGAGACCUACAAGUCGAGCAGGGUCGAAAGACGGACUUAGUGAUCCGGUGGUUCCGCAUGGAAGGGCCAUCGCUCAACGGAUAAAAGCUACCCCGGGGAUAACAGGCUUAUCUCCCCCAAGAGUUCACAUCGACGGGGAGGUUUGGCACCUCGAUGUCGGCUCAUCGCAUCCUGGGGCUGUAGUCGGUCCCAAGGGUUGGGCUGUUCGCCCAUUAAAGCGGUACGCGAGCUGGGUUCAGAACGUCGUGAGACAGUUCGGUCCCUAUCCGUCGUGGGCGUAGGAAAUUUGAGAGGAGCUGUCCUUAGUACGAGAGGACCGGGAUGGACAUACCUCUGGUGUACCAGUUGUCGUGCCAACGGCAUAGCUGGGUAGCUAUGUGUGGACGGGAUAAGUGCUGAAAGCAUCUAAGCAUGAAGCCCCCCUCAAGAUGAGAUUUCCCAACUUCGGUUAUAAGAUCCCUCAAAGAUGAUGAGGUUAAUAGGUUCGAGGUGGAAGCAUGGUGACAUGUGGAGCUGACGAAUACUAAUCGAUCGAAGACUUAAUCAA
rnacentral:rRNA from 1 species